rnacentral:piRNA from 1 species
UUUGGGCAGGUGUUUUCGCAGCUCCAAAGG